CACGUAGGGCGCAAGCGUUGUCCGGAAUCAUUGGGCGUAAAGAGCUCGUAGGCGGUCUGUUGCGUCCGCUGUGAAAACUCGGGGCUUAACCCCGAGCCUGCAGUGGAUACGGGCAGACUAGAGGUAGGUAGGGGAGAAUGGAAUUCCCGGUGUAGCGGUGAAAUGCGCAGAUAUCGGGAGGAACACCGGUGGCGAAGGCGGUUCUCUGGGCCUUACCUGACGCUGAGACGCGAAAGCGUGGGGAG
rnacentral:rRNA from 1 species